rnacentral:rRNA from 1 species
CCAAUAGCGUAUAUUAAAGUUGUUGCAGUUAAAAAGCUCGUAGUUGAAUUUCGAGAUCAGUACGCUGGUCGUGCCUUCGGUAUGCACUGGUGUCACUGGUUUCUCCCUUCUGAAGAACCGUCAUGUCAUUAAGUUGAUGUGGCGGGGAAUCAGGACUGUUACUUUGAAAAAAUUAGAGUGUUUAAAGCAGGCUCGCGCUU